CUCUCUACCCUUUGUGAACUAUUAUACCUGUUGCUUCGGCGGCGCCCGCGAGGGUGCCCGCCGGUCUCAUCAGAAUCUCUGUUUUCGAACCCGACGAUACUUCUGAGUGUUCUUAGCGAACUGUCAAAACUUUUAACAACGGAUCUCUUGGCUCCAGCAUCGAUGAAGAACGCAGCGAAACGCGAUAUGUAAUGUGAAUUGCAGAAUUCAGUGAAUCAUCGAAUCUUUGAACGCACAUGGCGCCUUCCAGUAUCCUGGGAGGCAUGCCUGUCCGAGCGUCGUUUCAACCCUCGAGCCCCCGUGGCCCGGCGUUGGAGAUCUGCUACGGCAGUCUCCCAAAAUCAGUGGCGGACCCGAAGGCCCUCUCCUUUGCGCAGUAGCAUCAGCCUCGCAUUGGGAUCCCUCGGCGUCCUGCCUCUAAACCCCCCACAAGCCCGCUCCGGCGGCACCAAGGUUGACCUCGGAUCAGGUAGGAAUACCCGCUGAACUUAAGCAUAUCAAUAAGUCCGGAGGAA
rnacentral:rRNA from 1 species